AUACGGAGGAUGCAAGCGUUAUCCGGAUUUAUUGGGUUUAAAGGGUGCGUAGGCGGUUUGCUAAGCGGGAGGUGAAAUGCCGGCGCUCAACGUCGGAAGUGCCUCCCGAACUGGUGGACUGGAAUGACUCUGCCGUGGGAGGAAUGUGUAGUGUAGUGGUGAAAUGCUUAGAGAUUACACAGAACACCGAUUGCGAAGGCAUCUCACGAAGGGUUGAUUGACGCUGAGGCACGAAAGCGUGGGGAUCAAACAGGAUUAGAUACCCUGGUAGUCCACGCAGUAAACGAUGAUGGCUAACCGCUGGUUUAUUCGGAUCAGUGGCCAAGCGAAAGCGAUAAGCCAUCCACCUGGGGAGUACGACCGCAAGGUUGAAACUCAAAGGAAUUGACGGGG
rnacentral:rRNA from 1 species